CACGAAUUAAGGCGAGCUAAAUAAUGAUAAUUAUUAGAUUAAUAUAUGUAGCAUAAUAUAAUUAAAUUAUUAUUUAGGAGUGAUAGGCUAACCAAGUCUUAGUAUAUCUUGAUAUCUUGAAAAAACAACAGUGUUGAGACAACUUAAGAAUGAUAAGGUUUUUAAGAAACAUCAAACAUUUUUUAAUGUGCUUUAUUUUAAUCUAACCAUUGAAUAUAAAGUGUUAUCUAUUAUUAAUAUAAAAGUUUUAUGUAUAGUACAAGGUACUACCGAACAGAUCAAAGUGUCUAUAAUGUGAUUAUUAGUAAUCCAACAGGUUAAAUUAAUGAACUCGGCAAUAUACCUUUCACCUGUUUAUCAAAAACAUAGCCAUAAGAAACUAUUUAUGGUGUUUUCUGCUCCAUGAUGUGUUUAAAUAGCCGCAGUACCCUGACUGUGCAAAGGUAGCGUAAUAAGUUGACUUAUAAUUGAAGUCUCGAAUGAAAGAAAGUUUGGGGGGUAACUGUAUCAGUAAAAUUAUUUGAAGUUAUUAAAUAAGUGCAAAUACUUAUAUAAAAAUAAUAGACGAGAAGACCCUAGAAAUUUUGAUUAUAUUAUACGUGAACGUUUUUGUUGGGGCAACAAGGUACCAAAAAAACUUACCGUUAUAUACACGGAACUAUAUAGCUAGACUAAAUUACUCUAGGGAUAACAGCGUAAUUUUAAUUUGUUUGCGACCUCGAUGUUGGACUAGGGAACGACUGCUUAAAA
rnacentral:rRNA from 1 species